rnacentral:rRNA from 1 species
CCUACGGGUGGCAGCAGUGAGGAAUAUUGGUCAAUGGGCGCGAGCCUGAACCAGCCAAGUAGCGUGAAGGAUGACUGCCCUACGGGUUGUAAACUUCUUUUAUAAAGGAAUAAAGUGAGGCACGUGUGCUUUUUUGUAUGUACUUUACGAAUAAGGAUCGGCUAACUCCGUGCCAGCAGCCGCGGUAAUACGGAGGAUCCGAGCGUUAUCCGGAUUUAUUGGGUUUAAAGGGAGCGUAGAUGGGUUGUUAAGUCAGUUGUGAAAGGUUGGGGCUUAACCGGAAAAUUGCAAUUGAUACUGGCGGUCUUGAGUACAGUUGAGGUAGGCGGAAUGCGUGGUGUAGCGGUGAAAUGCUUAGAUAUCACAAAGAACUCCGAUUGCGAAGGCAGCUUACUAAUCUGCCACUGACAUUGAUGCACGAAAGUGUGGGUAGCAAACAGGAUUAGAUACCCCGGUAGUC